GGCGGGACGAUGUCGACUUGGAGGUUGUGCCCUUGAGGCGUGGCUUCCGGAGCUAACGCGUUAAGUCGACCGCCUGGGGAGUACGGCCGCAAGGUUAAAACUCAAAUGAAUUGACGGGGGCCCGCACAAGCGGUGGAGCAUGUGGUUUAAUUCGAUGCAACGCGAAGAACCUUACCUGGUCUUGACAUCCACAGAACUUUCCAGAGAUGGAUUGGUGCCUUCGGGAACUGUGAGACAGGUGCUGCAUGGCUGUCGUCAGCUCGUGUUGUGAAAUGUUGGGUUAAGUCCCGCAACGAGCGCAACCCUUAUCCUUUGUUGCCAGCGGUCCGGCCGGGAACUCAAAGGAGACUGCCAGUGAUAAACUGGAGGAAGGUGGGGAUGACGUCAAGUCAUCAUGGCCCUUACGACCAGGGCUACACACGUGCUACAAUGGCGCAUACAAAGAGAAGCGACCUCGCGAGAGCAAGCGGACCUCAUAAAGUGCGUCGUAGUCCGGAUUGGAGUCUGCAACUCGACUCCAUGAAGUCGGAAUCGCUAGUAAUCGUGGAUCAGAAUGCCACGGUGAAUACGUUCCCGGGCCUUGUACACACCGCCCGUCACACCAUGGGAGUGGGUUGCAAAAGAAGUAGGUAGCUUAACCUUCGGGAGGGCGCUUACCACUUUGUGAUUCAUGACUGGGGUGAAGUCGAAAAGGG
rnacentral:rRNA from 1 species